rnacentral:lncRNA from 1 species
AGCUCCAUCUCCCCACCCCCUGCACUCCCUCUGCUCCCCUCCCCUCCUCCGGCGCAGACCCUCCCCUCUCCCCUCCAGCCUGGACACGCCCGCCUCCCCUUGACUCCCCCCAGCUCUGGGCCCCCACCUCCCCUCCCCUCCAGCACAGUCACCCCCAUUUCUCUCCUAUCCGCCAUCCUGGUUCCUCCCUUCCCCCCACCUCCCAACUCUGUGCCCCGCCAACGUUUCCUAAAUGCCCUCUAUUCAGAUCCCCCCUCCGCCUCCCCUCUCCUCUCCUCCAUUCCUGCGUCCCCCUUCCCCCGCCGCGCCGCCUGGGCUGUCCGUGGACUUCUCCCACUCUCUCACUCUCUCACUCACUCUCUCUCUCUCUCUCUCUCUCUCACUCUCUCUCUCUCUCUCCCCCUCAUUUAUUUGGAACCGUUGGAUAAGAAGUGCUCGGGCUCUCGCUCAGACUUAGGGAGCUGCCUCGAGGUGAUGAAUGACACCCCCUGGCACCAGCUACCCUUCUCAGACCCCAGUCCAGCCCGCUCCCGACGUCGACUACGAUUCCGCUACCUCGGCUGGCAGCGAGGUUGGGGUGAGCCCCAGCUGCAGGCGCGUCUGGGCUGCGCCGCUGCAAACGAGUUGCGCACCUUGGGCGGCUCCGCACCUGCACCCGCACCCGCGGGGCUCAGCCCCGAAGGCUGCAGCUUCGGGGGAGGCGCGGUCGCCGAGGUCCAGCUGGUGGGGCGAGAGACGUCGCCCCUCGGAGGAUGCUCUCGGAACUUGGGAGAGGAAGGAGGGAAGAGAAGAGGGGAAAGGGGCCGUCGAUGUUUUUGAUGUCUGUGCUUUAAUGGAGGCCACCAAUAUUGAGAAGACGGGGUUGGCCGAGGCAGCCCGCACGCUGCUGCUUGCGAGCGCUCGAGUCAAAGCUAGGGCCAACCGCGGCUUGUCCGGGUGCCCUAAGGGGGCGGACACUUGGUUUAGCACCGGGACACAGAAUAGCCACCGGGGUAGGAAGAUGCGUUCACUUUGCUUACCUGUUGGCAAGAGGGACAUACAAAAAUAACGUAACGUGACAUCGUUGACAACGGUAGCUCUUUGAUUACACAAAAGCCAAUUUUACCUUCCCGCAAAAGCCAGUUGACGCCUUUGGAACUUUUAUUUGCGGCAUUUUGGCGCCCUCUGGCUGUGUUUGGAUCGCUUUCAUGCUCGCCUGCGUCCCAGCCAAGAAAAAAUCGAUGGAGCUGCAGGUUGUCCUCAGGAUGGUUCUGCCCUCAGGACCUGGGCGUGAAUUCAGGGACAGGGUGGCCCUCCAGAACCGGAGUGACAAACUGUAACCAUACUUAGGGAGGCAGACGUCAAAGGCAAGUACAUCUGUAUUCAACUGGGUAAAGGAAGAGUUUUUCAGCCUGGCGUGGUGGCUCACACCUGUAAUCCCAGCACUUUGGGAGGCCAAGGUGAGUGAAUCUCCUGAGUUCAGGAGUUCAAGGCCAGCCUGGACAACAUGGUGAAACCGUCUCUACCCAAAAUACAAAAAAUUAGCCCAGCAUGGUGGUGUGUGCCUGAGGUCCCAGCUACUCGGGAAGCUGAAGUGGGAGGAUUGCUCAAGCCUGGGAGGUGGAGGUUGCAGUGAGUCGAGGUCGUGCCACUGCACUCCAACCUGGGUGACAGAGUGAGACUCCAUCUAAAAAAAAAAUAGUUUUUCUACUUCUCUCUCCAGUGCUGUACACAGUAGGUGCUCAAUAUUUCUUUGUUGAGUGAGUGAAGGGGCAAAUGAAGACUGUGGUGAGAGGUGGGCCCUGGGACCCUCUGCCAUGUAGAUUUGUUCUUCCUUCCUCUUAGAUGACCCCAUUCAUCGUGCCAUUGCAGCCUAGGCCCUACUUAAUCCUGGGAUGUGGACUCGAGGUGAGCAUGCUCUUUGGGGAUCCACAGGCUCAAUGCUUAUUGAAGCACAGAUGGCUGGGCCAGCGGUGUGCUGGAGCCAGCUCCUCCUCUCAGCUCAGGAGAGCUUCUUGUGCACACCUCUUCCCAACUCCGCAGUCAAUAACAGCAGGUUCAUAUCUUACAAUCAGUCAUAGUGUAAGAAUUUAAACCACUGGAAUCAGCAACUUGAGGGUUUGUGUUUUCUGGAGAGCUGGUUGUUAAAUCUUUACUGGCACAUCACCUGCUACUUCCUAUCCCUAGAGUCCCUGAUUCAGUAACUCUUGGACGGGACCUGAUGAUUUACAUUUCUAACAAGUUCCCAGGGAAUGCUGAUUCUGCUAGUCCAGAAAGGACACUUUAAGAAACACUUGGAAGACGUGAAAUCUGUUGUCUGAUUUCAGGGCUCUCUGAUUUCAGACAACACACAACAGAUUCUUUCCUCCCGCCAAAAGCAUAAGUCAUCAUUGACAAGAGGAAUGCUAGCACUUUCAUCUAAGAAUGUUGACUGUAGAUGACCCUAUAUCAAAUCAAUACUAAUAAGAGCUAAUGUUUACAGAAUAUUGACUGUACACCAGCUGCUUACUGUCCUGCUCAUUUCAUGCAUUAAUUCAUUUAAUCCAAGAACCAUAGACAGCAGGUUCUACUAGUACAGUUGGGGCUGAAGCACAGACCAGUCAAAUAACUUGCCCAAGAUUAUACGGGGAGUAAGCGGAGUUGUGAAGAUGUGAAUAUGAGCAAUCUGGCUCCAGAGCCCAUGGAUUUAACUGCUGCACCACAAAUCACAGGAGACCUGACUGUAGUUCUGCCAAAUAUAAAAAUCUAGUAACCGUUCCCUUAAAAGAAGACUAAGAACUUCAAAGAAAACACACAAAAAGGAGAAUUUAAAUUUCCAAGUCUCUCCCAACUGGACUUCCAAGACGUAAAAGAAAAUGGAUAAAGAAGUUUUCAAUCUUCUCAUUGUCCUUCAGCAUCAUCAACAUGCAGGAGACCACACCAUCAGUUGAUGAGAAAGCCAGUCUCCUAGUCAGAGGUCAGCAAAUGUUUUCCAUAAAGGACAAGAUAGUAAACAUUUCUGGCUUUGCAGGCUGUACAGCCUUCAUUGCAACAACUCCACUCUGCCUUUGCAGUUUGAAAGCAGCUAUAGACCAUACAUGAGAAUGAGGCAUUGGCCUUAUUCAGCUGUGGGCUGUAACUUGAUGACCUGUCCUGGAUUCAUCUAGAAGUUGCUCCUUAUUUCUAAAUAACCAGCAGAAACUAUACCUCCAUUAAAUGUAGGUAGAACUUUACAACAAAUACAUAAAUAAACACCCAGCCGGGAGCGGUGGCUCACCCCUGUAAUCCCAGCACUUUGGGAUGCCGAGGUGGGUGGAUCACCUGAGGUCAGGAAUUUGAGACCAGCCUGGCCAACACGGUGAAGCCCGUCUCUACUAAAAAUACAAAAAUUAGCCUGGUGUGCUGGCGUGUGCCUGUAAUCCCAGCUACUUGGGAGGCUGAGGCAGGAGAGUCACUGGAACCCAGAAGGCGGAGGCUGCAGUGAGCCGAGAUCGUGCCACUGCACUCCAGUCUGGGCGACAGAGUGAGACUUCGUCUCAGAAAAAAAAAAAACCACACCCAUAUAUCUAGGUAAUCACUUAACAGAUACCAGUGGGAACCUCCCCAGAAGACAGUCCAUCUCUGUGGUUCUAAUCUGGGGACAGAAGGUCUUUCUUGGCUUUAGGUUAUGAUAGGAGGCUCAGUUGGCUGGGGAAUCACACUACUGAGGAAAAUGUCCACAGAUCCAAAGCUUAGCUUAGCUUGAGUCCUGUUGGCUAAAAAGGAAACAAUGCAAGCAGAAAAGUCUCAUAUCAUUUGAUCACCUCAAAUACACAUUAACAAGCCCAGAACCCAGUCAGAGUGGAGCUUAGAAAUCAGCAGUGUCAUCUUUCUUCUUAAAAUGUUGAUUCAUUUUAUUUUAUAAACCAACAUGAUGCCAAGGAAAGUGAUGACGGUCCGGUCUGUAAGGGAUGUUUAAACAACGUGUCCCAGAUCCAUCUUCUCCUUAAUAUUGAGAUUGGCGCCAUCUUGGUAAAUGCUCCAUAACUUUUCUCCUAGGCCCUAGUCUGUUCUCCCUGCCUCUAGGCUUUCACUUCUCCUGAUUACCUUUCUGAAUGUACAUCCCUGAUCCUUCUGAAUUCACGAUCAAUCCUCUCUGGAUUACUACUGCAUAUUGACUUAAGGUCAAACUCCCCAGCUUGGCAUUCAAGAAUUGAUAUGACCUAGCUUCUUUUUCUCUCUCCCAUUUUACCUCAAAACUAUCUUAAUUUCUAUGCCUAGAAAAUCAUGUCUUGGCCUAGCAAGGUGGCUCACGCCUACAAUCCCAGCACUUUGGGAGGCCGAGGCAGGCAGAUCACUUGAGGUCAGGAGUUCAAGACCAGCCUGGCCAACAUGGUGAAACUCCGUCUCUACUAAAAAUACAAAAAUUAGCCAGGCACAGUGGCAAGAACCUGUAACCCCAGCUACUUGGGAGGCUGAGGCAGGAGAAUCACUUGAACCUGGGAGGCGGAGGUUGCACUGAGUGGAGAUUACACCACUGCAUUCCAGCCUGGGCAACAAGGUGAGAGACUCUGUCUCAAAAAAAAAAAAAAAAGAAGGAAAAAGAAAAAAUCAUGUCUUGCCUAAGGAAGUUCCAAAGGCAUAGUCAAGUGAGACAAGUGUUUUAACUAGAGCAGCAAGACCCACAUAAAUAACCUUCGGAGAAUCAUAUUCAUAGCAAAGGAAAAGACAAAGCUGUAGGCAGCAAGAUAAACUAGAAAUCAAAGGAAUAGUCUGGGACAAAGUUUCAGAAAUAGAACAGCAUUAUGUGACAUUUCCCAUUUUCUAUGGUAGUUGGUACAUGAUGUCUGGACAAAUCUGGAACCUUAAAAGAACUGCGGGGCUGACACCCUAGGUCAACGCUUUUCAAACUUCCCUUUCUCUUAGAAAGUGAGUUUUAACUUUAAUAGGCUUCACCCCAGACCCAGAAAAGAUAUCAGGAAAUCUGAAUUUUUUUUUUUUUUGGAGAUACAGUCUCACUCUGUCGCCCAGGCUGGAGUACAGUGGCGCAAUCUCAGUUCGCUGCAACCUCUGCCUCCAGGGUUCAAGCGAUUCUCCUGCCUCAGCCUCCCGAGUACCUGGGACUACAGGCGCCCAUUACCAAGACUGCCUAAUUUUUAUAUAUUUGGUAGAGACGGGGUUUCACCAUGUUGGCCAGGCUGGUCUUGAACUCUUGACCUCAGGUGAUCCACCCGCCUCGGCCUCCCAAAGUGCUGGCAUUACAGGCAUAAGCCAUGACACCCGGCCAGGAAAUCUGAAUUUCAAUAAAUGCUUCAGGUAAUUCUAACGAUUGCUCAAGUUUGGGAAAAUUCUGACUUCACAUUAAAAUCACCAG